ensembl:lncRNA
UACCGAUACAGAGUCAAUGUGGAGGCUAUAUACAGGGGGUACCGAUACAGAGUCAAUGUGGAGGCUAUAUACAGGGGGGUACCGAUACAGAGUCAAUGUGGAGGCUAUAUACAGGGGGUACCGGUACAGAGUCAAUGUGGAGGCUAUUUACAGGGUGUUACGGUACAGAGUCAAUGUGGAGGCUAUAUACAGGGGGUACCGGUACAGAGUCAAUGUGGAGGCUAUAUACAGGGUAUUACGGUACAGAGUCAAUGUGGAGGCUAUAUACAGGGAGUACCAGUACAGAGUCAAUGUGGAGACUAUAUACAGGGAGUACCGGUACAGAGUCAAUGUGGAGGCUAUAUACAGGGAGUACCAGUACAGAGUCAAUGUGGAG